rnacentral:rRNA from 1 species
UACCACGGUGUGGCCGAUGACUGGGGUGAAGUCGUAACAAGGUAGCCGUAGGGGAACCUGCGGCUGGAUCACCUCCUUAAC